AGUGAACGCUGGCGGCGUGCUUAACACAUGCAAGUCGAACGAGAACGGAUUAUAGCUUGCUAUAAUUGUCAGCUAAGUGGCGCACGGGUGAGUAAUGUAUAGGUAAUAUGCCUCUUACUAAGGGAUAACAAAUGGAAACGUUUGCUAAUACCUUAUACUCCUUAUUAACAUAAGUUAAUAAGGGAAAGAUUUAUUGGUAAGAGAUUAGCCUGUAUUGUAUCAGUUAGUUGGUGGGGUAAUGGCUUAACAAGACUAUGACACAUAACUGGUUUGAGAGGAUGAUCAGUCACACUGGAACUGGGACACGGUCCAGACUCCUACGGGAGGCAGCAGUGGGGAAGAUUGCACAAUGGACGAAAGUCUGAUGCAGCAACGCCGCGUGGAGGAUGACACAUUUCGGUGCGUAAACUCCUUUUAUAUGAGAAGAUAAUGACGGUAUUAUAUGAAUAAGCACCGGCUAACUCCGUGCCAGCCGCCGCGGUAA
rnacentral:rRNA from 1 species